UACAGAGGGUGCGAGCGUUAAUCGGAAUUACUGGGCGUAAAGCGUGCGUAGACGGUUAUUUAAGUCGGGUGUGAAAGCCCCGGGCUCAACCUGGGAAUUGCAUUCGAGACUGCGUAGCUAGGGUGCGGAAGAGGGAAGCGGAAUUUCCGGUGUAGCGGUGAAAUGCGUAGAUAUCGGAAGGAACACCAGUGGCGAAAGCGGCUUCCUGGUCCAGCACCGACGUUCAGGCACGAAAGCGUGGGGAGCAAACAGG
rnacentral:rRNA from 1 species